rfam:Brassica napus, WGS project CCCW01000000 data, contig: 1711
GGGGAUGUAGCUCAAUCGGUAGAACGCUCGCUUUGUAUGCGAUAGGCACAGGGAUCCCUCACAUCUCCA